ACCUACAUUGCACAAACUCAGGUUUAAGCAACUCACAGACAUACGCCGCUGAAUCCCAAAACUUGUAGUCUUUCACUCUCAAUCAACAAUGGCAGACAAGUGCGGAAACUGUGACUGUGCUGACAGGAGCCAGUGUGUGAAGAAGGGAAGCCAAUAUGGUUUUGUGGUCACCGAGACUGAGUACUCGGAGUUCAUGAUGACAGAGGGUCCCGAGCAUGGUUGCAAGUGCGGCAGCAACUGCCGAUGCAUUGACUGCAAGUGCGGUCCUCACUGAGCACCUAUUACUUACCUAUAGUAGCUCAUAUGAUCUUAGGAUAUAUAUAAGCUAUCUAUAGAUGAUAUAGUACUUCAAUAAGAGACAUAUUUCUGCACAGAGAUAUGUUUAACUUUGCUUUCGACACCUGAGGAUCACGUUUGUGCUCUGUACUCAUAUGAGCUUCUAAUAUCAUUAUAGUAUAAUUUGCUGUUUAUAAUUAUUCUCUAAUACACAACUAUUUUCAGCUUUU